rnacentral:rRNA from 1 species
AUGGAGCAGGGCGCCGGGAAGAAGCUCGGCAAGGCUAAGGCGUCCAAGUACGAUGUGAAGGCAUCUCCUCAGAGCGAGGUGUCCGCUCUGGAGCUCCCUGGCGCGCCGACUCGGGCCGAGGUGGCCGCGCUGCAGCUUCCGGGCGCCCCACCAUCGCCGACCCAGCCCGAGGUCGACACGACAUCUCAGGCGACCGCGUUGCAGCUCCCAGGCGCGCGACCCCAGCCGCCUCAGGCCGAGGUGUCUCCUCGCCCGCUUACGAUCGUCCCCGCCCCCGCUCACCUUCCGCCUCAGGCCGACGCGGUCUGGUUCAGGAGCUUGCUGGAGGCCCUCCGACUCCGGUUUCCGGGGCCGGUUGUGGCGAGGAUCUUCGAGGCCUUCCAGGGCGCGUGGGCGUCCGUGCACGGGUGGUGGAGCGGGCCGCCGCCAGCAGCAGCGCCGGUGAUCAACAAGAAGAACAAGAACAAGAAGAAGGACAAGAACAAGAAUACCUUGCUCCCCGUGCCGCGGCGUAGUAAGGCAUGGUUGUACUGGGAGAAGCGCCGCCGCCGCCGGGUGAUCCCCCCUCCUCCUGUUCUUGAUGAGCCGCAGCCUUCGCAGCCCGCACCAGUGCCACUGAUUAUCGAUGGAGAGACCGUCCCCGCUGAGAUUGUGGAGGGAUAUAAGAGAUGA